GAAGGUCAGGCAAUCGCUGAGCUGUUCAACGCUUGGAGGAAAGUCCGGACUUCCUGGGAACAGGGUGACGGUUAACGACCGCCCGGGGAAACCCGAGGGAAAGUGCCGCAGAAAAGAAACCGCCUGUCCGUCGACAGGUAAGGGUGAAACGGCGAGGUAAGAGCUCACCGCUUUUCCGGCAACGGAAAAGGCACGGCAAACCCCAUCCGAAGCAAGACCAAGAAAGUGGCUCUGAUUCAAUUCAGAAGGGAGUGUUCCCAUCCCGCCCAAUAGGUAGGUCGCAAGAGGCGCUCAGCAAUGCGCGUCCCAGAUGAAUGAUUGCCCGCGACAAAAUCCGGCUUAUCGACCUUCUG
rnacentral:RNase_P_RNA from 1 species